CUCAGGAAGUCAAGAAUGCAAGAUGCGGGAGGCGCUGGGUGCGGAGUUCGCUCGGCGACUUCAGAAGUUGGGCUUAGCAAGACAUCUGAACGCUGAACCCCCGUGAUGCCGCUGGACUGAGCACCAACCACACCCAAGCAUGGAUCACGCGGGACCCGGAACGGUCCCCCACCCCCAACCCAGCGCCUCCCCAGGCUCCCCAGAGCGCUACGUGCCAAGGUGAGGCCCAGGAAAAAGCCGGGGAGACCGGAUGGAGAAGUUGCUCUAGUUUGUAGAGCUGGGUGGGCCGGCCGAGUCGGCACGCCCUCAACACCGAACCUAGAGCCUGGUCCCCACAACCUGGGACGCGCUUGGAAGCUGCUUCCUCUCCCCUCCAUUCUUAUUGCUAAGGCCUUCGGUCGACCCUCUGGAGAUAAUCACACUGAGAAGUUAACACUCUACACCUGUUUGCUUUUUUUUUUUUUUUUUUUUUUUUUCAGAAGGCUGUCAGAUGGAGUUAGUCAAAGGGAUGCCAUUGACUUUCGAGCGCUGGAGAUUGAAUUUCAGCCAGCUCGACCAAGACCACGAAGUCUUACUUACAGCCGCAGAAAGAAGUAAGUGCGAGUUGUUUGGGUUGAGCGCAGAGCCACGUGUGUACGGUCAUCCACAAGAAGGAAUUCUGAGUCAGUGGUUCUGGAAAUGUUAAGAUUGACAAUCUGCAGACCGAUCUGUUCUUAUGUUUGUCACUACGUUCCCAAACAACAACAACAACUUGGAUUUUUAUAUGUUCACAUAAACUGUUAACCACUGUCACUCUGAACAAGAAAGGAAGAGAAAUUGUAUGCUUUUCUUGACUCUGAGGAAUUUUUUCCCACGAUUAUAUUUAUAAUUCAGAAAGCCAAUAAAAGAAGCAAAUU
rnacentral:lncRNA from 1 species